rnacentral:rRNA from 1 species
UACGGGAGGCAGCAGUGGGGAAUAUUGCACAAUGGGCGAAAGCCUGAUGCAGCUAUGCCGCGUGUAUGAAGAAGGCCUUAGGGUUGUAAAGUACUUUCAUCGGGGAGGAAAAACAAAACUAAUAAUUUUAUUUCUUGACGUUACCCGAAAAAGAAGCACCGGCUAACUCCGUGCCAGCAGCCGCGGUAAUACGGAGGGUGCUAGCGUUAAUCAGAAUUACUGGGCGUAAAGAGCACGUAGGUGGUUUUUUUAAAGUCAGAUGUGAAAAUCCCUGGGCUUAACCUAGGAACUGCAUUUUGAAACUGAAAUACUAGAGUAUCGUAGAGGGAGGUAGAAUUCUAGGUGUAGCGGUGAAAAUGCGUAGAUAUCUGGAGGAAUACCUGUGGCGAAAGCGGCCUCCUAAACGAAUACUGACACUGAGGUGCGAAAGCGUGGGGAGCAAACAGGGAUUAGAUACC